CCCUCUAAACGAAAGAAUGAAGACAAAUCUUGCGACUUCGCUCUCCUCUGUUGGAGGGGUGGACACUAAGAGGGUUGUGUGGAAUAUUCUGGCAAGAAUGAUUACCUGCACCGUGGCACACAGGAUCAAUUGGAAGGGAGUAAACGGCAAAAGGGCCUUCAAUAAAAUGGCCAUGAAAAUCGUUCUUUUCCGUGCAGUGCGCAAAUGCGCUAUAACGAGUGCAGCGAUGGAUGCAGACAUAUCCCAGCAUACCAUUCGCUGGUUUAACCUGGCAAGCGACAGGGAAGGGGGCCGCCAGGAGAGACAGGAG